rnacentral:rRNA from 1 species
UACAGAGGGGGCAAGCGUUGUUCGGAAUUACUGGGCGUAAAGGGCGCGUAGGCGGCCUUCUAAGUCGAACGUGAAAUCCCCGGGCUCAACCCGGGAACUGCGUCCGAUACUGGAAGGCUUGAAUCCGGGAGAGGGAUGCGGAAUUCCAGGUGUAGCGGUGAAAUGCGUAGAUAUCGGGAGGAACACCAGUGGCGAAGGCGGUUGCCUGGAGCUUUGCUGACGCUGAGGCGCGAAAGCGUGGGGAGCGAUCCGG